CACGUAGUUAGCCGGGACUUAUUCCUCAGGUACCGUCAUCAUCUUCCCUGAGAAAAGAACUUUACAACCCGAAGGCCGUCAUCGUUCACGCGGCGUUGCUGCCUCAGAGUUUCCUCCAUUGGGCAAUAUUCCUCA
rnacentral:rRNA from 1 species